GAUGAACGCUAGCGGCGGGCCUAAUACAUGCAAGUCGAACGGUGCAGCAAUGCAUAGUGGCAGACGGGUGCGUAACGCGUAUGCAACCUACCUUCAAUCGGGGGACAACAUUUCGAAAGAAGUGCUAAUACCGCGUAAGAUAGUAGUGGGACAUCCCACAGCUAUUAAACUCACGGGGAUUGAAGAUGGGCAUGCGUCUGAUUAGCUAGUUGGCGGGUAAAGCCCACCAAGGCGACGAUCAGUAGGGGAACUGAGAGGUUGAUCCCCCACACUGGCACUGAGAUACGGGCCAGACUCCUACGGGAGGCAGCAGUAGGGAAUAUUGGGCAAUGGAGGCAACUCUGACCCAGCCACGCCGCGUGCAGGAGGAAGGCGCUCUGCGUUG
rnacentral:rRNA from 1 species